GGAUCAAAGUUGGAUGAAUGUAAUUUGAAUCAGUGGUGUAUGAGAAUCGCAUUGAAGAUUUUCUACAAUUUUCUGAAUGACAUGGGGGUGCCUUGAAUUAAAAGUAUUAUUGUCUCUAUAUUACUUGUUUGAACGAGAGACAACAACAAAUUCAGUUAAUACGAGAGCAUAUUCUAUGUGAUGGUAUCUUAAAGAGUUAUACAAUGCGGAUCAGACAUGGUGAAGUUGUACACCUUCCAACUGUAUCUCAAAGUCAAGAGUCU
rnacentral:lncRNA from 1 species